rnacentral:lncRNA from 1 species
CUCAACCCCCCCCCCCAGGCCUCCUGGCUGCAUAGGUACCUGGUCCUACAUUGCACACACUGCAGAAGCACAGGGGGUCAUAAAGGCCAUUGUCCUGAGCUGCAGAAGUUGUAGAAGUGAACAAUAAUACAAAGAGGGCCUCUCUCAGCCUCCUUAAUGGAAAUUGAAGCCCACUGGAAAAGUGAAAGGAAUCUCUGCAAUCAAGGCACACCAGACCACCAUAGUUGCUCCUUUUAGGUCCCCAUCCUGAAGGAUAAAGUGGCUGUAUCGAAGAGUUUAUUCACUAUAAACAUAUUUUGGGAAGGUCCUCAAUUUUGAUGUAAUUCACAUGGUUAAAGGUGAUAGAUUAAUAACUACCACAAAUUGUUAUUUUCUAAACUGUGCUUGAUGCUACUGUGUUGCUGAUUGUAUCCUUUGGGCUAAGGUAUUGUGAUUGAUCUAGUCAGUUCCUGGUAUAAUGAAAAUGAGAUUGUCCAGAGUCAUUAGAGACUCAAAACCUAAAGACCAGCUACAUCUAGAAGAUACCUCUGAGAAGCAAUCAUUCCAUAAGCAUUCUAAAUACAACCAACAAAGAUACUUACAAUAAGCAAUAUCAAAGUAUCAACCCAGGAAUUAAACCAAGGACAGUACCAACAACAAAAAUAAAAAUGAGAAGACAUUUAAGCAAGGCACAAACCCACACUUUCAGACCACCAAGGCAAAUUCUGGGGUAAACAAGGUGGAAAAUUCUGAUGCUCAACCACCUGGACACCCUGAACUGAUAGCACUGGAAGUAACAAAACAGAUGAAUGAGGCUCUAGAAAAAUUCAAAACAGAAAUAAUUUUCCAGAUAACUACAGAUAUGGUGAGUGGAAUGAAAGACAUGAUUAGAGACUCUAGAACAGAAACAGAUAAAAAAAAAAAUAGCUGAGUUCAGGACCGUGAUAGAAACCAUGAAUGCCCAACAUAGGAAAGAAAUGGAAACCAUGAAUGCCCAACUUAGGAAAGAAAUGGAAUCCAUGAAAGAGAUUCAAACAGAUAUCCAGGAGAUGAAAAACUCCACUGAAAGCAUACACAGCACACUGAGCCAAUCUGAAGACAGAAUAUCAGAUAGAGAAG